AGGGCAACCCUCCAUUGGCAGGUGCGACCUACACCCUACCCUGCCAAAGGGGAUUUGCCCGGC
rnacentral:pre_miRNA from 1 species